rnacentral:rRNA from 1 species
CCCUUAGAGUUUGAUCAUGGCUCAGAACGAACGCUGGCGGCAGGCUUAACACAUGCAAGUCGAGCGCACUCUUCGGAGUGAGCGGCGGACGGGUUAGUAACGCGUGGGAACGUGCCCUUCUCUAAGGAAUAGCCUCUGGAAACGGAGAGUAAUACCGUAUAAGCCCUUCGGGGGAAAGAUUUAUCGGGAAAGGAUUGGCCCGCGUUAGAUUAGAUAGUUGGUGGGGUAAUGGCCUACCAAGUCUACGAUCUAUAGCUGGUUUUAGAGGAUGAUCAGCAACACUGGGACUGAGACACGGCCCAGACUCCUACGGGAGGCAGCAGUGGGGAAUCUUAGACAAUGGGCGCAAGCCUGAUCUAGCCAUGCCGCGUGUGUGAUGAAGGUCUUAGGAUCGUAAAGCACUUUCGCCAGGGAUGAUAAUGACAGUACCUGGUAAAGAAACCCCGGCUAACUCCGUGCCAGCAGCCGCGGUAAUACGGAGGGGGUUAGCGUUGUUCGGAAUUACUGGGCGUAAAGCGUACGUAGGCGGAUUGGAAAGUUGGGGGUGAAAUCCCAGGGCUCAACCCUGGAACUGCCUCCAAAACUAUCAGUCUAGAGUUCGAGAGAGGUGAGUGGAAUUCCAAGUGUAGAGGUGAAAUUCGUAGAUAUUUGGAGGAACACCAGUGGCGAAGGCGGCUCACUGGCUCGAUACUGACGCUGAGGUACGAAAGUGUGGGGAGCAAACAGGAUUAGAUACCCUGGUAGUCCACACCGUAAACGAUG